AUGAAGAACGCAGCGAAAUGCG
rnacentral:rRNA from 3 species